CUGCUGUUGUACAGUAUAAAAAUUAUGAGAAUUCUUUCGGUGGACGCUCUUGUGUCAGAAAGAUGCAGUCAUCUUUUGCUGACAGAUUAAGAAGAUGUAGUCAUCUUUGCUUAAUCAGUUGAAGCUCAAAGUCGUAUCAUAAUUAUUACACAGCAACUUAUAUCUAAAUGAAAAGUAUAAUAAAUUCUAUAAUUUUAUCAUAAGUUACUAUUCAAGACAUAAAAAAUACACUGCUGUUGUACAGUAUAAAAAUUAUGAGAAUUCUUUCAGUGGACGCUCUUGUGUCAGAAAGAUGCAGUCAUCUUUUGCUGACAGAUUAAGAAGAUGAAGUCAUCUUUGCUUAAUCAGUUGAAGCUCAAAGUCGUAUCAUAAUUAUUACACAGCAACUUAUAUCUAAAUGAAAAGUAUAAUAAAUUCUAUAAUUUUAU